UGUAUCGUGCAGCCGUGCGUGGCUGCGAAGCACGAUGUCCACCCGCGGACGGACGACGGCCAACUGACUGGCGUUCGCGCCACACAAUUACUCGUCCAAGGAAGUACUAGCCGAUGCCACAUUUUAAAAUAUUAUGUAUAAUCCGUCAUGUCUAUGGCACUACGAACACAUGGUUGCGGGAAUUAGUGACACUUCAAAGACUGCUCCUCUUUGCAUUACUUUCAAGUUUCUUGACUUACAAGAUGAAGAGACAAUCUGACCAAUGAAGAUGAUCAUAAUCAAGAGAAUAUAACAUAUAAUCCAUGUUGCAUUAUCCACGUUUGUAAAGAAGAUAAGCUUUCAUGUGAUAAACUCACAAUCGAUACUUUGAUGUUUAACGUGAUAAUGUUUUGACGCUUUGAAUGCUUUAUAGUUUUUGUGGUCACGGAGGAUGAAAGUCGAAAAUAAUAUGAUGACAAUAAAAACCGCGAGCGGUUUAACGCUCGGCGCGGUCAUAAAACCUCCAUCUUCGGAUCCGAGAUACAUUCUUGACAAAGCUUUUACGCUCUGAGGAAC